rnacentral:tRNA from 1 species
CGGGGCGUAGCGCAGUCCGGUAGCGCACUUGCUUCGGGAGCAAGGGGUCGGAGGUUCAAAUCCUCUCGCCCCGACCA